ACGUAUCUACUGAACGGGGUCGGGUGGCCCUGCUCCGGCCCUUGCCGUGCAGCGGGUCCCCUUCCCUGUACAAACCACAAACCCCUGUGCACCUUUCGCGGUGGGAGGAUGCGGCGCGAGCCCGUCCAGACGCUGCGGUCACAUACACGAGUUUAAAGAAUGUCAAGCGGACACUGUUUCCGCCCACAAAUAAAA
rnacentral:misc_RNA from 1 species